UACGAAGGGGGCUAGCGUUGCUCGGAAUUACUGGGCGUAAAGGGCGCGUAGGCGGUUCGUUAUGUCGGAUGUGAAAGCCCUUGGCUUAACCGAGGAAGUGCAUCCGAAACUGGCGAGCUAGAGUACGAAAGAGGAUCGCGGAAUUCCCGGUGUAGAGGUGAAAUUCGUAGAUAUCGGGAGGAACACCGGUGGCGAAGGCGGCGAUCUGGGUCGAUACUGACGCUGAGGUGCGAAAGCGUGGGGAGCAAACAGG
rnacentral:rRNA from 1 species